CUCGCUGGGGCGGCUGCGCUUCUGGAUCCACAUGCAGGACGCCGUGUACUCCCUGCAGCAGUUUGGGUUUUCAGAGAAAGAUGCUGAUGAGGUGAAAGGAAUUUUUGUAGACACCAACUUGUACUUCCUGGCACUGACCUUCUUUGUCGCAGCGUUCCAUCUUCUCUUUGAUUUCCUGGCCUUUAAAAAUGACAUCAGUUUCUGGAAGAAGAAGAAGAGCAUGAUUGGCAUGUCCACCAAGGCAGUGCUCUGGCGCUGCUUCAGCACCGUGGUCAUCUUCCUGUUCCUGCUGGAUGAGCAGACGAGCCUGCUGGUGCUGGUCCCGGCGGGCGUUGGAGCUGCCAUUGAGCUGUGGAAAGUUAAGAAGGCAUUGAAGAUGACUAUUCUUUGGAGAGGCCUGAUGCCCGAAUUUGAGUUUGGCACUUACAGCGAAUCUGAGAGGAAAACCGAGGAGUACGAUACUCAGGCCAUGAAGUACUUGUCGUACCUGCUGUACCCGCUCUGUGUCGGGGGCGCUGUCUAUUCACUCCUGAACAUCAAAUACAAGAGCUGGUACUCCUGGUUAAUCAACAGCUUCGUCAACGGUGAGUCCAUGUGCUUCCCUGCUUCAGUAAUAGUGUUUACAGC
rnacentral:sRNA from 1 species